UACGUAGGGGGCAAGCGUUGUCCGGAAUCAUUGGGCGUAAAGAGCGCGUAGGCGGCUAGAUAAGUCCGGUGCGAAAGUCACAGGCUCAACCUGUGAAUGCCGCUGGAAACUGUCUGGCUAGAGUCCGGAAGGGGGCGAGUGGAAUUCCUGGUGUAGCGGUGAAAUGCGCAGAUAUCAGGAGGAACACCAAUGGCGAAGGCAGCUCGCUGGGGACGGUACUGACGCUGAGGGCGCGAAAAGCGUGGGGGGAGCAAACAGG
rnacentral:rRNA from 1 species